UACGGAAGGUGCAAGCGUUGUUCGGAAUGACUGGGCGUAAAGCGCACGUAGGCGGCUUGUUAAGUCAGGGGUGAAAUCCUGGAGCUCAACUCCAGAACUGCCUUUGAUACUGGCGAUCUUGAGUCCGGGAGAGGUGAGUGGAACUGCGAGUGUAGAGGUGAAAUUCGUAGAUAUUCGCAAGAACACCAGUGGCGAAGGCGGCUCACUGGCCCGGUACUGACGCUGAGGUGCGAAAGCGUGGGGAGCAAACAGG
rnacentral:rRNA from 1 species